UCAUCAUCCUCCUCCAUCCUCCACUGCUAAGAUGCUGCAUCUUCUCACACAAGCUGCAGUAAUGUGCUUUAAUGCGCUGGUUAUCGCUCAGCCCGACGACUACAGGGUGGCCGAGAGAGCUUAUGUGGUCCUGCAGAAGCAGAAUUUAGUCACACUGGGGAGUGUCCUGGCGGUGGUGCUGGUGCUGAUGAUCAUUAUGGCUGUCUGCGUCUACAAACCGCUGUCUCGUCGCUGAAAUCUGGAGGACAUAUGAACCGAGAGACAAUCCUGUUCUGUGUGCAAAGUUACACCCGCUCUGUUGCCGUAACCAUGUGCAGAUGGGAACCGACUGAGGGAAAAGCAGCUGCCAAAAAGCCCAGUGUGCGCAGUUAGUUUAUAAACACAGAUCAGGCGUAACUUUGUGAGCACUGAUGGUGAAUAACAGUGAUUAUGUCUUCAUCAUGGCACCUGUUGGUGAGUGUGGGCUAUAUUAGGGUGCAAGUAAUCAUUAUGUCCUCAAAUUUGGUGUGUUAGAAGCAGGAAAAUGUGCAAGCAUAGGUGUUUGAGUGAGUUUGAGGGCCACUUUGUGAUAGCCAACUCUACUGAACAUCUCCAGAAUUGCGGGUCUCUUGGGCUCUUCCCGGUGUACGGUGGUCAGUUUCUAUCAGAAGUGGUCCAAGCAUGGAGGCUCACUGAUGUACGUCGAGAGUAACGGCUGGCCAACUUGGCCCAAUGCAACAUUUUCAGCAAUUUGAGCUACUGUAGCUCAAAGUGGAGUCCAUGCUUUGAUGGUUCAAGGCUGUUUUGGUAGGAAAAGAAGGACUAACGCAGUAUUAGACAGGUGGCCAUAAUGCUAUGCCUGAUCAGUGUAUCUUUAGUGUCUUUAAUUUAUCUUGAUCUCAGGUCAGUUAUUAAUAUAAUUUAAAGUGAACACAGAUACAGUGAAGAUCAAACAUCUGAGACUGGGCCUCAUGUUUCCAGCAGAAAACUGCUUUACCACUAUCACCUGUGUCAUCUUCAGGUGAUAGUGGCAAAAGAAACUGAAUCACAUUUUAUGACUAGACAAAGAUCGCAGAUUAAAACUUUCCAGAAAUUGCUGCAUCUAAACCUCGCUGUUCACUGUCACUUAAAAGCAACUCCAUCACAGAUAAGGACAUUUCUAAAUAAAAAGUAGAAGAAUAAAAAGUGCAGUUGAAAUAACCACGUCUAGUCUGGUCUCAGAGGAGGAGCGGUGGUCUCUUGGGUUGGGUAGGUGUGUAAAUGCGAGAUUUGUGUCAGUAGCACAAGGGUAUAUGCGGAGAGAGAGAAGGAUAACAGUGCAUUAAACCCAAAGUGCUCUGGAGAUGGAUACUUGUACUGAGUUGACUCCACCCUGACCAAGGAGAACCACUGGUUUCAUCAGAGACAUCCUUCACCCUUCUGGUUUUGGAGAAUAUUAUUACUGCUAAGGAGCCAACACACCGGGCUCGCAGGAACUACUUUAAGAUGAUACACAUCACAAGAAACUCCUUGAAUCAUUUGCUAUUAGCUGUUAUCAUUUUCAAAUAGGGGGUAGAUAUUCUGAAAUUCAGAUUCAUUUUUAAGGCUUUUUGGCUCCACUGCAUAUUAGUUUAUGUAAAAUUGCUUUUGUAAAUAGAAUGAGACAAAACUGAUUUAAAAUGCUCACCUAAUGGCACAAGUAGUAAUCUGGGCCUGUAUUUUAUAAAAAGAGAGCACCAUGUGUUAUUUAUUUGGGUUUCAAAGCUGGAAAUUUUGUGAUUGGUUGCAUUUUUUGUUUGAUGAAAAGCAGAAGUUCUGCAAGCAUUAAACUUUGAGAUUAAAAAGUGA